rfam:Angomonas deanei Cont1743, whole genome shotgun sequence.
CCCGGGGUUUUAAACCCCCCCCCCCGGGGGGGGUUUAAAACCCCCCCCCCGGGGGGGGGGUUUAAAAACCCCCCCCCCGGGGGGGGGGGUAAAAAAAAACCCCCCC